rnacentral:rRNA from 1 species
UUUACACACCCUUUGUAUGUCUUAAGAAUGUCUACUCGAUGUAAUAAAACGCAUCUAAUACAACUUUCAACAACGGAUCUCUUGGCUCUCGCAUCGAUGAAGAACGCAGCGAAAUGCGAUAAGUAAUGUGAAUUGCAGAAUUCAGUGAAUCAUCGAAUCUUUGAACGCACCUUGCGCCCUUUGGUAUUCCGAAGGGCACACCUGUUUGAGUGUCGUGAAAUUCUCAACCCUCUUCAUUUUUUUUAAAGUGAACGUAGUGGAUUGGACUUGGAGGUUUUGCCGGGCUUCACCGCUCGGCUCCUCUCAAAUGCAUUAGUGCGUCUUGUUGCGACGUGCGCCUCGGUGUGAUAAUUAUCUACGCUGUGGUGCGCUUGCUUCUGUGGAGACGCGCUUUCUAACCGUCCGAAAGGACAGCUUUCAUCGAACUUUGACCUCAAGUCAGGUGGGACUACCCGCUGAACUUAAGAAAA